rnacentral:lncRNA from 1 species
ACUUAAGUACAGUAUGACAUUUCUUGUAAGCUUUGCCUGUUGUCUUUACCAUCUUCAAUAGCCCAAGAAGUACACUGAACCUUUGCUGCUACUUGUGAAGCCAAACCAAGACUCUAAUAGUAUUUAUUGGAAGCACUGACAUAAAAGUGUUGUCCGAGCCCAGUGGGUCGUCGUAGUGCACACCUUUAAUCCCAGCGAAGGCACAGGCAGGUGCAUCUCUGAAUUCAAGACCAGCUUGGUCUACAGAGCAAGUUCAGGACAGCCAGGGCUACACAGACCCUGUCUCAAGAAACCAAAAAAAGUUUACCCAAACAAAUUUUGCCAGGUGGUGGUACACACCUUUAAUCCCAGCCCCCAGGAGGCAAAGGCAGGGUGGAUCUUUUGUGAGACAAGGCCAGCCUGGUCUACACAGUGAAUUCCAGGACAGUAAAAGCUAUACACAGAGAAAUCCUGUCAAAAAAAAAAAACAAAAAAAAACAAAAAACAAAAAAACAAAAAAA